CCCUUAGACGUUCUGGGCCGCAUGCGCGCUACACUGACCAGUGCAACAAGCAUCCGUCCUUGGCCGACAGGCCCGGGCAAUCUUUGAACGCUGGUCGUGAUGGGGAUAGACUUUUGCAAUUUUUGGUCUUCAACGAGGAAUUCCUAGUAAACGCAAGUCAUCAACUUGCAUUGAUUACGUCCCUGCCCUUUGUACACACCGCCCGUCGCACCUACCGAUUGAAUGGUCCGGUGAAGCCUCCGGAUUGGCGCGCACCUCGGUGCCGCCGAGAAGUUGGCUAAACCUUACCAUUUAGAGGAAGGUGAAGUCGUAACA
rnacentral:rRNA from 1 species